GUAUAAAAUGAGAAUUUUUAAAUAACAGAAGAAAAAUAUUGAGAAAGGUUUUACUUAAAAGAUGUCUAUGGAAAAGUAUGUUAUUGUUGCCUUCUUGGAGGAGGAUGAUGCAGUUGCAGUUGUGCCUGCAGCUUGGCUGAUCAACAGCGAGUUGUGUUAUUGGCCUCCAUAUACCA